rnacentral:tRNA from 1 species
GUUCCCGUAGUUGAAUUACAACGGUGGUUUUUCAAGUCACUGGUUUCGGUUAGAAUCCGGGCGGGAAUU